ACAAGAGGAUUCUGCACGGUUUAUGGUGCAGAAUUGCCGCAUACUGUGCAUAUCUUUUACAUGUUUUUAUUUAAUUUUUUUCCUAUAGAAAACAUGUACAACUAUCGCUCAUUUAGAAUAUUUUUCCAUAUAAAUUCAAGAUUGUUUAUUGUCACGAGUGUAAAAGAAAACGAAAUGAUUGUUACACACACAAAAUGCCCGAAACAUCAUGGGGUUCGACCUCAAACGUUGACUGUAGUCUUUACCUACUCUUUGCUGAGUUUCUCCAGCAUUUUGUGUGUUGCUCGGGUAGUCACACGUGGAACCGCUAGACCUCCUCCUCGCUUUCCGGCAUUCCGAAACUGACGCAUAAACAUCAAUUGGAAAAGGGGUGUUGAUAACAGAAGCGCCGCACAAUAAUAGCCGUUGUCGGGAAGCCCGUUUGUAGAGGUCACACCGCGCCUGAAUACAUACUCCAGACUGCAAAUGUGGUACACGGAAAUACUUGAUUGCGUUCGGACUUCCUGCUGGAAUCCCAUUCUGUUUCAGUCCGCAGCAGUCCUACGGACAUCUCGAUGUCCUGGCAGACCAACAACGUUAGCGAAGAUUGGCUGGGUGACACAAGACUGCAUGCAGGUCCAAAGUGAAUGGAGAGGACUCCAGAUCUGCUAAUUUACAGAUGUGCUGGGUGUGUCCCGGCAACCGCUGGACCCCUGCGUGCUUCGUGGCAAUGUAUCGGUCGCUGCCCAGAGGGUGGGGGCCACUGCACCACCCCAACCUGCGACAACUCAGCGUAACACACCAUCAUCAGUGUGCUCAGUGCUGUCCCAAUUCCGGUAAGUGAUACUAAACUGCACAUACAUUAUUUCUAUUUUAUAUAGGCUGUGUAUUUUUACGUGUUAUUUGGUAUGAUUUGGCAGCUUCAUAGCUUAAAGGUUACUGGAGAGACUGUUUCUGCCAACAGCGCUUGCAUGAGAUUUUCUGCCGAGAGCGCUUGCGUGAGAUUUUUGCUACGGAGAACAGUGCCGGCAAUGAUUGUGGAAAAGUAUUUCUACUUUAUAUAGGCUGUGUAUUUAUCAUAUUAUUCCUGCUUUUACUGUAUGUUACUGUUAUUUUAAGUUUUAUGUGUUAUUUGGCAUGAUUUGGUAGGUUAUUUUUGGGUCUGCGAACACUCACAAAAUUUUCCCAUAUAAAUAAAUGGUAAUUGCUUCUUCGCUUUACGACAUUCCGGCUUACGAACCGUUUCAUAGGAACGCUCUACCUUCGGAUGGCGGGGGAAACCUGUAACAUGAGUCAAAACCUUUAAAUCGGCACAGAAACCGGCAUAAGCACCAGCCUGUCGGGAAAGACUUUAACUUAACUUUAAAACCUUUGAAGUGAACAAUUUUAUUGGUUAAAAUAUUCCUGUUUAUAGUCAUACCUCCUGCAAUAAAGACUAAUAUACUAUUUGCCUUCAUAAUUGCCUGUUAUAGUUGCAGAUUGACCUUCAGUAGUUUGUGCAGAGACCUAGAUCCCUUCUGAACACCAACAUCAUUCAAUCUCUUCACAUUUAUAAAACCCUCUGCUUUUCUAUUUUUCUUCAACCAAAGUGAAUCACGUUACAUUCUGGGCAUUGUUGCAUACAGUCAGACUCUAACUAUAUGCAGGAGUUGCAAAUGGAAUUAAAUAAUCACUUAAAAACUUCUAAUUUCAUGAUGGAAGGACAAAUCAAAGAGAUCUUAAGUUAAUCAAGGACACCGUCCCUAGAACACUUCCAGUAAGAUUCUGGGGCUAAAAUUAUUAGCUUCCAAUUACAUAAACCAACUUCUAAAAGAGGAAUAUUACAGGCACUGAUAAUCUUAAAUAAAAAUAUGCUGGAAACGCUUAGUGGAUCAGGCAGAUGCAUGGAAAAAAAUAAUGUUUGAGAUCAAAUCACCUUCUCUUGUACUUCGUGUGACUCCAGUCACUGAAAUAUUUAAAUCCAACCCCCACCUCAACUUUCAAUUUCCCCCAGGGAUUUUAAUUUUACUUUGAUUUCUGGAUACCACAAUAGCCAAAUGCUGCUUUGGCAUUAAGGACAAUUACACAUACUGAAAUUCAACUGCUGCUCUCAAAGAUCAGAUCAAAAGUAUUUUGGAUGCUUUCUCCUUUAUAAUAAUUGGACAUUAAUUUAUCGGGAUACUGUAUAGAGAACAGGAGAUAAAAAUAAUCAUGUCAGAUAAUCCAAGAACAUAAAAAACAGGAGCAGGAAUAGAUCAGUGAACCCUCAAUUCUUCUAUGUCAUUCAAUAAAACGGUAGCCAAUUUGAUCCUAGCUACUUUCCGCUCUCCUGUCUGUUACCUGUAAUUGUUUACUCUCCUAUAGACCAAACAUCUUGAACAAACAUAUAGGAGAGUAAAUAUAUUCAAUUAUUUAAACUCCACAGCCUUCUGGGCUAAAGGUUUCAAAAGCCUCACAAACCUCAGAUUAGUUGGAAAAUUAGGCAAAGUGGUGGCAGAUGGAAUUUAAUCUGGACAAACAUGCCAUAGUGCAUUUUCGGAUGUCAAUUAUUAAUAGAACAUAAACAGAAAACGGUAGGGACUUUGAGUGUUGAUGUAUGAAGGAACCUUGGGGUGCAAGUUUAUAGCUUACUGAAAACAGAGACCCAAGUGGUAAGGGUAGUGAAGAAGGCAUUCAAUAUACUUACCCUCAUAGUCCAAGGCACUGAGUUACAAGAGUUGUGACAUCACAUUGUAGAUGUACAAAAUAUUAGUCAGGCUACACAGGAGUAUUGUGUACAACUAUGAUUGUCACACUACACCAAGGAUAUGGUAACAUUAGAAAGACCGUACAAGACCACACGACAUAGGAACAGAAUUAGCCAUUCAGCCCAUCAGAUCUGCUCCGCCAUUCCAUCAUGGCUAAUCCCGGAUCCCACAUAACCCCAUACACUUGCCUUCUCGCCAUAUCCUUUGAUGCUCUCCUUUGUUCCUUCUCUGGACUUUCUCCAAUGACAACACAUCCUUUUGGAGAUACAAAGCCCAAAAACUGUUGACAAUACCCCAAGUGCAGCCUGACGAGUGUCAGCAUUAUUUCCUUGCCUUUACAUUCUUUUCCCCUUGAAAUAAAUGUCUACAUUGCAUUUGCCUUCUUUACCACAGACUCAACCUGCAAAUGAACUUUUUGGGAAUCUUCCAUGAGGACUCCGCACUCUGCAAAAGAACAAGGUUCUGUUUGGAUCUUGUCCCCAUUUAGAUAAUAGUCUGCACUAAUGUUCCUUUUACAAAAAUACAUGAUCAUACAUUUCCCAACUCAUUGUUCCAUCUGCUAGUUUUUUUGCCCAUUCUUCCAAUUUGUCCAUGUCCUGCUGCAAUCGUAUUGCUUCCUCAGCACUACCUAUCCCUUCACCUAUCUUCGUAUCAUCAGCAAACUUCUUCCACAAAGCCAUCAAUUCCAUUACCUAUAUCACUGACAAAAACAAUGUGAAAAGUAGUGGUCCCCAAACUGAUUCCUGAGGAACACCACUAGUCACUGGCAGCCAACCAGAAAAGAAAGGACCCCUUUAUUCCGACUCGCUGCCUCCUGCCUGUCAGCCAUUCCCCUAUCCAUGCCAGUAUUUUUCAUGUAACACCAUAGGAAUUUAUCCUGUUAAACAGCCUCAUGUGUGGCAUCUUAUCAAAUGCCUUCUGAAAAUCCAAGUAAUGAUAUCCACUGCCUCUCCUUUGUCCACACUGCUUGUUACUUCCUCAAAGAACAGAUUUGUAAGGCAAGAUAUUCCUUUACCGAAACCAUGCUGAUUUUGACUUAUUUUAUCAUUAGUCUCCAAGUACCUCAAAACUUCAUCCUUAAUAAUACACACCAGUAUCUUCCCAACCACUGAGGUUAGGCUAACUGGCCUGUAAUUUCCUUUCUUCUGCCUUCCUCCCUUCCUAAAGAGUAGAGUGACAUCUGCAAUCUUCCGGUCCUCUGGGACCAUGCCAGACUCAAAGGAUUAUUGAAAGAUCAUGACCAAUGCAUCCAUUAUCAUUUUAGCAACCUCUUUCAGGACUCCAGCACUUCUUCCUUUGUAAUAGCAAUGGCACUCACUUCUGCUCCCUGACACUCAUAGAUCUCUGGCACAUUGCUAGUGUCUUCCACAGUGAAGACAGAUGAAAAGUACUCAAGUUCAUCUGCCAGUUCUUUGUCCCCUAUUACUACCUCACCAGCAUCACUUUCCAGUGGUCUAAUAUUAACCUCUCACCUCCCUUUCACGUUUUUAUAUAAUUGAAAAAACUUUUGGUAUCCUGCAUUACAUUAUUGGCCAGUUUGCCCUCAUGUUUCAACUUAGCCCUUCGUAUAGUUUUUUUUAAGUUGUCUUUUGUUGGAUUUUAAAAGCUUCCAAUCAUCCAAUUUCCCACUCACUUUUGCUACUUUAUAUAUGACCUUUCCUAGGCUUUUAUGCAGUCCUUAACUACCAUUGUCAGCCACGGUUGCCUACCUCUGCCAUUCGAGAACAACUUCCUCCGUGGGACGUAUCUGUCCUGCGCUUUGUCAUCUAUUCCCAGAAACUUCAGCCAUCUUCUGCUCUGCCAUCAUCCCCGCCAGUAUCCUCCUCCAAUCCACCUGGGCAAGCUCCUCUCUCAUGUCUCUGUAAUUCCCUUUAUUCCAUUGUGAUACUGAUAUAUGUGAUUUAUGCUUCGCCCUCUCAAAUUACAGUAUGAAUUCAAUCAUAUUAUGAUCACUGCCUCCUGAAGGUUCCUUUACGUUAGCUCCCUAAUAAGAUCUGAUUAUAUAACACCCAAUCUAAGAUAGACUUUCAUAGAACAUAGAACAUAGAAUAGUCCAGCACAGUACAGGCCCUUCAGCCCACAAUGUUGUGCCGACCCUCAAACCCUGCCUCCCAUAUAAGACCCCACCUUAAAUUCCUCCAUAUACCUGUCUAGUAGUCUCUUAAACUUCACUAGUGUAUCUGCCUCCACCACUGACUCAGGCAGUGCAUUCCACGCACUAACCACUCUCUGAGUAAAAAACCUUCCUCUAAUAUCCCCCUUGAACUUCCCACCCCUUACCUUAAAGCCAUGUCCUCUUGUAUUAAGCAGUGGUGCCCUGGGGAAGAGGCGCCGGCUAUCUACUCUAUCUAUUCCUCUUAUUAUCUUGUACACCUCUAUCAUGUCUCCACUCAUCCUCCUUCUCUCCAAAGAGUAAAGCCCUAGCUCCCUUAAUCUCUGAUCAUAAUCCAUACUUUCUAUACCAGGCAGCAUCCUGGUAAAUCUCCUCUGUACCCUUUUCAAUGCUUCCACAUCCUUCCUAAAGUGAG